AGCUCGCUCGGCCGGCUGUUAUCAUUAUUAUAGCAUUUUAAUUUUAUUUAAUCAACAACAGUAGUUUAUUAUGUUUUCCGUUCUACGUACGUGCUUUGUUAUUCACGAUGCCCGUCAACAUAAGCCAAAUUACACGGCAGGCUUUUCCGAGCCAGUCAGUCGACGCUGAUUAAACUCCAACUGCGACAUUCUCUUAAACGAGGAUUAACACAUCACAGCUAACCGUGUCGGCUAAUCGUCGUUGUUAGUGUGCAAAAUUAUUCUUACAGUACCAACUUGUUACAAUUGUUUUGAACUGGGCUGUGCCUGUACCGGACAAAAGAUAAAAACACAAUUUUUGCCAUUAAUGCAACGCCGCCUGUCCGACGACAAGUCAACCAACAGACGUGUCGGUUAAAUCCAGAUACAGCUGUCUAUGCAAAAAUAUGUCCACCGUUAUUGGCAGCUGUCAGCAGACGUUCUAUGAUGGCAAUCUAGGAAAGUAUAUAUUUCACGGAAUUGAUUCGAUUGACCGAAAAUCUAUCCAUCGACACGGUGGUGGUGUUGGACUGUGAAUAUUUUGAGCUCCUUUUCAGUACCUAUCCUUUGGUUUGCCGUCGUCAAAGGAUCACAUAAUACAUUUUAUUAUAGUCCACGCCGUAUGGAAAAGGUUGUCGACAUGGGCAGAGACGAUUCGGCCGAGUUCUUCCAUAAAGCAAUUGGCCAAAGUAGUAAAAAACCCGCCAAAAUCGAGUUCAAAGUGCCUCAUGUCCGUGACCGGUUUCGAAAGUCCGGCAAGAAAGUCACCAAGAAAUAUGUUGACGACAUGUCCGACUUGAGAACAACAACACCGGAACCUGUCAGCAAAAUUCUGAUCAAAAAACGGAAACGGCAAAACCCAGACGAAUCGGUUUCCUAUUUUUACAUCAGUUCGCCCGUUUCCCGUCGAAAGUCUGCUUCCUUUGACACGGCACAACCUAAUGUAGCCUUAACAAAGGCAAACCCGACAAGAGUUUCAGGUCAGCGACAGGAUAACCGGUCGAGACAGUUGGACGAGGAGAUUGCAAAGCGAUUCAAAGCCUUGGCCGAUUUCAUCACACGUGAGAAUUAUUAUUUUCAGAAAAAACGUAACGUUAAGAUUAACAAGACCAAGGGAGGUUAACGUGUAAGAGGUAGGUAUAGAUACACCGUGCAGCGGAUUGAAAACAGUGUGACCUAGUGGACAACUCCAUAAGUUCUCUUAAACUAUAAAAUCUCUGAUGUAAAAUGGAAAUUUCUUCUAAAAACCCGCUACAGUUGUAAAACGAAUGGUUUUAUCCAUCUUUUUUCGUAUAAAAAAAAUAAUCUUAAUUAGUACAAAAAAAUGAUAAAAUAAUCAAUUUUUACAUUUUGCAAUGCUUUUUCAUGGUGAGAAGAACUUGCGGUAUUGUUCACUGAAGCACCGAGUGUCCUUUGCACGGUAUCUAUAAUACCUAUUAUAUUUGUUACUGGCGUUAUUGUCUUUAAACCUUCUUCAAUAUAUUUAUAUUACUCUUCCUUGUCUUUCCACUUCCUCGAGAGUACGCCGCAUUAUUGUUUUCCUUGUCUCGGUAGAUUAAUUUUUUCUGAAGAACUGACUUGAUUUCCAGGGAACAAAGUUAUCAGUCUUUGAAGUUCAAUGUCCUCUGUAAAUCGAUUCCUAAAAGUCUGCCGGCAAAUUAUUACAUUCGACAGUAUUCAGACCUAAUCUCGAUUUUCCUUUUGCACUAGUUGCAUCCCCAGACACAUGUUUCUCAUACAUAGAUUUCGCUUUGUCAAGGUUUAUCGAAAAGUUUGACUACAUUUUACUUCUUAAGGUAACGUGGCGUUCUCUCAGUAAAGUACUCGUGUACAUAUUAUAUUGUUUACUUUGACAGUACAAAUUUCCAAUUCAAUUUGGAUGACUUUAAAACGAUUUUAUUCCCCCCCCCCCCCAAAAAAAAAAAUAUAUAUAUAAGCAAGAGAAGACCCUUAUAAACCCAAAAGACUGGUUUUUAAAAUUGUAGACACUCUCCGCCCCCGACCCCCUUUAACCCAGUAUGUCUUUUAAGCUAUUUGCGCUAAAUUAUUUUUAAAAAAUUUAACAUAUUUUGAAAUUAUAUAUAUAUUUAUGGAAAUAAUGGUUUUAACGAUUACCCCCCCCCCC